rnacentral:rRNA from 1 species
GUAGGGAAUCUUCCACAAUGGACGCAAGUCUGAUGGAGCAACGCCGCGUGAGUGAAGAAGGGUUUCGGCUCGUAAAGCUCUGUUGUUAAAGAAGAACGUGGGUAAGAGUAACUGUUUACCCAGUGACGGUAUUUAACCAGAAAGCCACGGCUAACUACGUGCCAC